UAAUUAAAUAUAUAUAAUAAAUUUAAAAGGAUGUCUAUAAUUUUUAUUAAAUAAGAAAGACGUUAUAUAUAUUAACGAAAUUUUUAUAAUAAUUAAUAAAAAUAUAUUUAUAUUUAUUAAUAAAUAUUAUUAUAAAAGUAUCUGAUAAAAUAUUUUUAUAUAAAUAUUUUAUUUAAAAACUUAAGGAAUUGAAUCAUCUUAGUACUUAAAGGAAUAAAAAGUAAUAACGAUUUUCAUAGUAGUGGCGAGCGAAUUGAAAAAAAAUAAGCAUUUAAAAAUAUGUAAAAUUUUAAUAAAGUAAUAUAAUAUAUAAUUUUAUAUAAAUAAUAUAAAAAAUAAUAAGAAUUAUUUUAUAAAAUUAAAU
rnacentral:rRNA from 1 species